rnacentral:rRNA from 1 species
GAUGAACGCUGGCGGCGUGCCUAAUACAUGCAAGUCGAGCGAACGGACGAGAAGCUUGCUUCUCUGAUGUUAGCGGCGGACGGGUGAGUAACACGUGGAUAACCUACCUAUAAGACUGGGAUAACUUCGGGAAACCGGAGCUAAUACCGGAUAAUCUUUUGAACCGCAUGGUUCAAAAGUGAAAGACGGUCUUGCUGUCACUUAUAGAUGGAUCCGCGCUGCAUUAGCUAGUUGGUAAGGUAACGGCUUACCAAGGCAACGAUGCAUAGCCGACCUGAGAGGGUGAUCGGCGACACUGGAACGGAGACACGGUCCAGACUCCUACGGGAGGCAGCAGUAGGGAAUCUUCCGCAAUGGGCGAAAGCCUGACGGAGCAACGCCGCGUGAGUGAUGAAGGUCUUCGGAUCGUAAAACUCUGUUAUUAGGGAAGAACAUAUGUGUAAGUUACUGUGCACAUCUUGACGGUACCUAAUCAGAAAGCCACGGCUAACUACGUG